GAGGAAGGAGAAGUCGUAACAAGGUUUCCGUAGGUGAACCUGCGGAAGGAUCAUUGUCGAGACUAAAAUUAUAUCGAGCAAUUUAGAGAAUUUGUGAAAUUAUCAGCGUCAUAUGCUGUCGCAAAAUAAUCGCCCUAGUCGUUGGCUCAUCUCUUUUGGGAGAGGGUUUCGAUGAAGGUUGAUGAAAACUCAAAUCGACGCAAUUUUGCGCCAAGGAAAAAUUUUGGGCAUGCGACCCCUGCGUCGGGUUUAGGGGUGUGGAGUGCUAUUGCUCCUUGUAUGGAUUAGAAUGACUCUCGACAAUGGAUAUCUCGGCUCUUGCAUCGAUGAAGAGCGCAGCGAAAUGCGAUACGUGGUGCGAAUUGCAGAAUCCCGCGAACCAUCGAGUCUUUGAACGCAAGUUGCGCCUGAGGCCAGCCGGCCAAGGGCACGUCUGCCUGGGCGUCAAGCAUUGCGUCACUCUGUGCCAACUCCAUCACACCAAUGGGCGUGUUGAUAUAGGCUCAGAUGUGUAGAGUGGCUCGUCGUGCCCAUCAUUGCGGCGGGUUGAAGAGUGCAUUAUCAUCUCAUUGGCUUAGAUGAACAAGGGUGGAUAAAAGUUGUGAGAAAAAGGCCUAUGUUGUAUAAUGCUGGCUCAAGAGAAGCUUAUGCAUUCGAUGCGAUCCCAACCCAUGCUUGAUCCAUAAGAGGCGGCUCGGAAUGCGACCCCAGGAUGGGCGAGGCCACCCGCUGAGUUUAAGCAUAUCAAUAAAGCGGAGGAA
rnacentral:rRNA from 1 species